AUGAACGCUGGCGGCGUGCCUAAUACAUGCCAGUCGAGCGAACGGACGAGAAGCUUGCUUCUCUGAUGUUAGCGGCGGACGGGGGAGUAACACGUGGAUAACCUACCUAUAAGACUGGGAUAACUUCGGGAAACCGGAGCUAAUACCGGAUAAUAUUUUGAACCGCAUGGUUCAAAAGUGAAAGACGGUCUUGCUGUCACUUAUAGAUGGAUCCGCGCUGCAUUAGCUAGUUGGUAAGGUAACGGCUUACCAAGGCAACGAUGCAUAGCCGACCUGAGAGGGUGAUCGGCCACACUGGAACUGAGACACGGUCCAGACUCCUACGGGAGGCAGCAGUAGGGAAUCUUCCGCAAUGGGCGAAAGCCUGACGGAGCAACGCCGCGUGAGUGAUGAAGGUCUUCGGAUCGUAAAACUCUGUUAUUAGGGAAGAACAUAUGUGUAAGUAACUGUGCACAUCUUGACGGUACCUAAUCAGAAAGCCACGGCUAACUACGUG
rnacentral:rRNA from 1 species